rnacentral:lncRNA from 1 species
GGUGGGCCGAGGAUCCAGGAUUCCCUGCAUUUUCCUCAGUGCAGGAACAACAAAGAGAUUGCAGGUGACAACAGCUGACACAGGAUUGCCUGGGAGCGCAAAGAUUAUUUUUCUUACACCAUCAAUAUCCAGAGUUGCAAAAGUUGUCGGCAGGCCUGGUUUCAUAAAAACUCUGCCAAAGUGAAUCUGUGCAUGAAGAUCAAUAUCCAGCACCUGUUUAAGGUAGUCCUUUUCUCCCAUAGACACGCCUCCCGAUGUAAUGAUCACAUCAGCACGGCUGAUACCCUCAUUCAGUGCAUUCAGUAAAUCAUCUGGGUUAUCUCCCACAAUUCCCAAGUUGAUUGUUGGAUAGCCAUGUUCUUGGAUAGUAGCUAGGAGAGUUGAGCGGUUACUGUCUCGAAUCUUUCCUGGCAAGAGAUCAUCUUCGGGAUUCAGUAG